rnacentral:lncRNA from 1 species
UUCCACAUGGAUGCAGUGGCGAAAUAAUCCACAUCCUUACUUCGGUAAGGACUAAAAGCCGAGCCAGUCUCGCAUUAGCUAGCAGGCGGUCGAAUCAUAAUAAGCCAAGCUCCGGCUUGCACGUUCUUGCCGACCUCAUAGCACCCACAGGAUAAGCCGGACACCAGAACCGCACAUAUAUAGUACAACGAGUCCGCCUUGUCUACUUUCUACUAAGUUCAUCGUUUCGGCUCAAACGUAUACAGGAUAAGUCAAGAGACGUCUUGCCCCAUAAUACGUUUCGAAACUAAGCUUAAAACGCCAAGGAUACCUCGCACAAAAUCAGCCGAGGAUUACCUUGCACAAAAAUGAUAAAGGCAUAAACAGCUUCUCUUAGCACGUAAAAGUCAAACGACUAGACGGGAUAAGCUGAGCUGCAGAUCGCACCUUGUCCGCAAUUACAAUAAGUACAAUAUCAAGAACAAGCAAAAACAAGAACCAAUUGCACCUUCUCAUCAAUAAAAGGAAGCUGCUACAACAACGAUACGACCACAGUACAUUUAAAGGGUCAACAGUACAUAAUGCCGAUCCGACAAGCUACAACAUGCUAAAAAGCCGGAUAAAAUCUACGAAUACUGAAAGAAGAAAAAACAAACAUCAAAUUCUCGUACUCAAAGAGAUCACCAAGGCAUCAGCGACCUAGGUACCAUCUUCCCCCACUCCAGCCUCGGUUACCUCCGUAGGCACGCCAUCCGCAAACUCCGGAAAAGGCUCAAGAUCAUCGUCGCAAAGAUCAGUAAUCGUAAGCGAUUCAACCGUCGCGUGCCAUUUGAGCUUGUCAGCUUUGAGCGUACAAAAACACUUUCGUCGUCCUGGCCGUACCAAGACUCCUUCGCCGUGACGUACGAACUCCACCGAACAAACCUUAUCAUACGAAGUCUGAAGUCUAUCGUACGAAGUCUGUCAUAUGAAGUCUGUCGCACGAAGUCCGACAUACGAAGUCUGUCGUACGAAGUCCGACAUACGAAGUCUGUCAUACGAACUUGCUAAAUGAGCUCUCCAGAAUGACGCCCUUGUCCCGCCGAACGAACCGCGGGUCACGCAAAAUGAACCGCGUGUCGCGCCGAACGAACCGCGGGUCACGCCGAACAAACCGCGGGUCACACCAAACGAACCGUGGGUUACGCCGAACGAACUGCGGGUCACGCCGAACGAACCGUAGGUCACGCCGAACGAACCGCGGGUCACGCCGAACAAACCGC